rnacentral:miRNA from 1 species
UUAACGAGAAUCUGAUACGGUUC